GUGCCAGCAGCCGCGGUAAUACGUAGGGUGCGAGCGUUAAUCGGAAUUACUGGGCGUAAAGCGUGCGCAGGCGGUUAUUUAAGCUUGCUGUGAAAGCCCCGGGCUUAACCCGGGAAUGGCAGUGAGGACUGGAUGACUGGAGUGUGGCAGAGGGGGGUGGAAUUCCACGUGUAGCAGUGAAAUGCGUAGAGAUGUGGAGGAACACCGAUGGCGAAGGCAGCCCCCUGGGCUAACACUGACGCUCAGGCACGAAAGCGUGGGGAGCAAACAGGAUUAGAAACCCCUGUAGUCC
rnacentral:rRNA from 1 species